AUGAAAGCCUUGUUCUGGAACAUUAGAGGUUUCGGUGCUAGGGGGCGCCGCGACCAAAUUAAAGACUUGAUUCGUGGUAAUAAUAUUGACUUGGAUGGGCUGGUUGAAACCUUUAAAGAAUCCUUCUCCCCUAACGAACUUUCUGCCAUCGCGGGCACGGAUAGAUUUGAUUUGCAUGUGCUACCUGCUUCAGGACAUUCGGGAGGGAUCCUGAUUGGCUCAAAAAAAGAUAUGUUCGAUUUCGUGGCCUUUGAUCAUGGUGUUUUCUGGGCAAGCACGGUAGUCUGUCACAAAGCCCUUAAUAUUUUAUGGGAAGUCAUUGUGGUUUAUGGCCCGGCUGAUCAUUCGCUUUCCUCCUUAUUCUUGGACGAGCUCUCUGCUAAGACCGAGGCAUGUAAUUUACCGAUAAUUAUCGGUGGGGACUUCAACCUCCUUCGCUCUCCUGCUGACAAAAGUAAUGACAAUUUUUCCUGGACGCUGGCGAACGCUUUCAAUGACUUCAUUAGCACCAAUGAUAUCCGCGAGCUAACUAGGAUUGGGCCCCGCUUCACUUGGUCUAACCAUCAGGCCAACCCGAUUAGUUCUAUGCUUGAUAGAGUUUUUAUGUGCUCUAGUUGGGAUUCUCUCUUUCCACGGGUCUCCGUCACCGCUAAAUGUAUCGUUGGCUCGGAUCACACCCCCUUUAUUCUUGAUGCUGGGCUACAUCAAGAUAGACCACCUGCCAGAUUCCAAUUUGAUGCCUCUUGGUUGCUUGUUGAUGGGUUUUACGAACUGCUUGCCUCGAAGAUUACUCACCUCCUAUCCACAAACCCUCGCUCCUUUUGUCCUCUCGAUGACAUGGCACUUUUGCUAUUACAAUUUGCGCAAAUUUCUUAG
rnacentral:rRNA from 1 species